rnacentral:rRNA from 1 species
ACGGGUGAGUAACACGUGACUAACCUACCCUAGAGUGGGGGAUAACUUCGGGAAACCGAGGCUAAUACCGCAUACGAUCUACGGAUUAAAGGAGCAAUUCGCUCUAGGAGGGGGUCGCGGCCGAUUAGCUAGUUGGCGGGGUAAUGGCCCACCAAGGCGAUGAUCGGUAUCCGGCCUGAGAGGGCGCACGGACACACUGGAACUGAAACACGGUCCAGACUCCUACGGGAGGCAGCAGUGGGGAAUUUUGCGCAAUGGGGGAAACCCUGACGCAGCAACGCCGCGUGGAGGAUGAAGUCUCUUGGGACGUAAACUCCUUUCGAUCGGGACGAUAAUGACGGUACCGAGAGAAGAAGCCCCGGCUAACUUCGUGCCAGCAGCCGCGGUAAUACGAGGGGGGCGAGCGUUGUUCGGAAUUAUUGGGCGUAAAGGGUGCGUAGGCGGUUUGGUAAGUCUUAUGUGAAAACUUCGGGCUCAACUCGAAGACUGCAUGGGAAACUGCCGGGCUUGAGUAUGGGAGAGGUGAGUGGAAUUCCCGGUGUAGCGGUGAAAUGCGUAGA